AGACAAGUAAGAGGUGCAGCUCCGGUUAAUCGAGCUGACCUUUCACCUGACCUAGAUGUGAUUGGCCUAAACCGCACCUGCUCAUCAAGGAGUUGACUGUAGAGUGAGUGUAGGAUAUCCUGAAAUUCAAAACAAGCCGAUGUGGCCCCUUUUACAACUGCAGAUGUCUGACGUUUUGUGCGCCUGUGCUCUUUGUAAAAAGAGGUUGCACCCCCUGGAUGGGGAAUUAUUCCUGUGUCCCCCUUCUGCUGGAAUUCAGAGGAAAUACCGGCCGACAGAUAGACUCAAGCUGUUGGCCAGCUGCUUCCUCUCGGCUCCGACCACAUAGUGAUUCUUCUCGAAGGCUCUUUCCAGCCGGAGCAGCUGAGACGGAGAGAAAGCGGUGCGGAUGCGUUUGGGUUUCCUGGCGAAAGGACC